rnacentral:lncRNA from 1 species
GGUAAGGGAAGGCUUUUAUUCAAGUGAUUCAAGAGGUUCAAAACAUAUGAUCUUUAAGGUGGUUUACUCUCAAAACAAGUAGCCUUGACAUUGCACAUAAUAUAUCUAAGAAAGGGACCAACUCAUGCAUACAAUGCUCAAUCUCCAUUGUUCUACCCUUUUCCCAAACAUACAAUUACACAAUCAUUCCCAAAUGUCAAACCCAACUCACAUCUCUCACCAAAAGAUCCUAAGAACUUUAACUCCUUCUCUUUGAAAUCUACAAGGGAUUUUUCACAACCUCAAAACAUUUCUUAGCUCCUAACAACUUUGCUAGCCCCCUUUUUCUUUUCUUUUUCUUUUUUUUUUCUUUUCUCUUUUUUUUUUUUUCGUUUUUCUUUUUCCCCUUUUUUUUUUUUAGGCUGGGGGCCAAGACUUUUCAAAACUUGAGCUAGAGGCUUCUAUACUGGUCCCAAUAAAACAAUUCACUUAAGCACAAAGAGUCUAUUCUUUUCCUUUUUCAUUUCUCCCAAAUCAUAAUCACAACACUCACCCCCACCUAUAGCUAGACAAUAGAGUGUCCAAUCUAGCAAGAAUGAAGAUCAAGCAUUGUCGUUCCCGAUACUCUCAACAUUAUGCACAUGUAAGACUUUCCGAAAAAGGCCUCACUCAUCAAACAAUGAAAGCUUAAAAGGAGGAAAAGGUUUUGGGAGUGGUCUACCACUAGAGUUUGUCAAAAAAGAUUGGUAUAAAAGAUGUGACAACUCAAGUGUGUAUAGCCAUGACUCAGUACACAAGGGACCAUGAGCAAGAAGCAUUAAGUUCGUUCAGUUCAAAUAAGGUUGUAGUUGGCUUCAAAGACUGAGUUUCAGCAAUCAACAAGUUUCAGGAAGAGUUUUCAAGGCUCGAAACAUACAAGUCUUUUUGAGAGGUGCAAAAGCUAGUCAAGUGCAACGUAGUGUUCUUUACAAGGCAUUCAAAAUCAUUGCUCCCAAUGCAAGUGAAUGCAACCUAUAUGCUCUAGACUCUCCUAAAAAUGCAAAUGAUGCAAACUAAAUGAUUGAUUUUUUUUUUUUUUUUUAUCUAUGCAAAUAGGUAUGCCAUGCAUGACUCAAUGAAACAACAUCAAAGCAAACAUGAUCAAAUACUUGGUACCUCCCCCAAACUUGAGUUACACAGUCUCUGUGUCGUCAAGUAGAGAGAGAU